rnacentral:misc_RNA from 1 species
AAGUCGUAACAAGGUCUCCGUUGGUGAACCAGCGGAGGGAUCAUUACAGAGUUUACGAUGAAAACUCCCAAACCCCUUGUGAACCUACUCUUUUGUUGCCUCGGCAGGCAAGAGGGCCUCCGCAUGGAGGCUGGCUGGGCCUGCCGGUGGUCUACGAGACGAAAUUUUGUUUAGCACGUGGUUAUUCUGAUCAGUUAGGACAUAAUAUCGAGUUUAAAACUUUCAACAACGGAUCUCUUGGUUCUG